UAAGACAAAAAAUAGACUACCUGAGGCAUGUGCAAUGAAAAAUGGGGAUAUCUUCUCGGUAUUAAAUUUCGACGGAAGAAUGCCUAUGAUGACAUCAUCGAAGCGACAAAUGAUUUCGACAUCAGGUAUUGCAUUGGAACCGGCGGAUAUGGCAGCGUUUACAAAGCUCAAUUGCCCAGUGGAAAAGUAAUUGCCUUGAAGAAACUUCACCGUUUGGAAGCCAGAAGAAGAGCCAACUUUUGACCAUUGUUUUAGGAAUGAGGUCCAAAUGUUAACUAAUGUCCGACACAAAAGCAUUGUGAACCUUUAUGGGUUCUGUUUGCAAAUAGAUGUUUGUUCCUCAUCUAUAAGUACAUGGAAAGGGGAAGCUUAUUUUGUGCCUUGAGACUGGAUGUCGAAGCUAUGGAAAUAGGAUGGACCUAAGCGGGUUAACAUCGUGGAAGCAAUAGCACAUGCUUUGUCCUACUUUGCACCACAAUUGCAUCCCAGCCUAUUGUUCACCGAGACAUAUCGAGCAAAACAUUAUGUUGAACUCUCAGUUGGAGGCUUUUGUCUCAGACUUUGGUACAGUCAGACUGUUGUAUCCAAAUUCGUCGAACCAAACCUAACCGCGGACACUUAUGGCUAUAUUGCACUAGGACCAUAUUACUUUUUUUUCUAUUAAAGUGAAGCCUGCGAUAUUCUUUUAUGUUUUUUACAAUGAUCUUUCUAUUUGUGCAGAACUUGCCCACACCAUGGUUGUGACGAAAAGUGCGAUGUUUAUAGUUUUGGAAGUGGUGGCACUAGAAACAAUCAUGGGAACGUAUCCGGGGGAACUCCUCUCGUCAAUGGCAUCGCCUUCUGCUCAAAACAUGAUGAUAACCCGAUGUCUUAGAUCCGCGACUUGAUCCUCCAAUGAUCCGAUAGUUGUAAAGGAACAUUGCUCUUGUUGCUACGCUGGCAUUUGCAUGCUUGCGUCCCAAGCCGAGAUCUCGUCCAACCAUGGCAACCAUCUCGCAAGAAAGCUUUAGCUACACCUCUUCAUACAAUUUCCCUACUGGAGUUGCAGAAUCAAGAAACGGAUUUUAUCCGAUUGUGAUGGAGUUGGAAUGAUGAGUAUACAUUCUUGGCACGGCUUUGGCGUUAUGGCCAUUUUGUAUAUGUAUUUACCAGGCCCAGAAAACUUCAAGCCCAAACUCGAAUAAAGUAUAGGACCUAAUUCAAAACGAAAAGAUGUAAUUACACUAAUCUCUCCUGAAAAUUUUAAAAUUUUAAAGCAUAACAAAAAGAAUGCAACGAUCUUACUUGAACAAGAUUUGUUCCAUGGGCUCACACCUCUGUGUCUGUAAGUCCUAUGAAAAAAUGAAUAUGCUCUAAUCUUAAAUUGUAGACCAAAUACCUUUUGAAAAAGUUUAUUUCAAGGGUAAGACAUUCAUUUGGCAUUCAAAAGGAAGAAAUAGUUGUCCGUGAUUGUAAAUGCACCCCAAAAUUAAAUCGGUACUUUUUAUUAUUUUUCCUGGGAUAUUUUUCUCUUUUUCUUUUCCAGAAUUCCAAACAAAGCCUUUGGAUUUCGUUUAGAACCACCCCUUAGUUGUGUUCCCAAACAUUUUCUUUAUUCACUAUGGUUACUUGUAAGGGGUAAAAACUAUCCCAUAUUUAACAAUGAGUUGCCCUUACAUAGUUAAGCAGCAAAAUUAUGUACUCUCAACAUUCCCAGGAUUAAAUCAAAACAAACGCAUUUCCAAAAAAGUUAAAAAUUUUGAAAAAAGGGACUAUCCAAUUUUUGGGCAAAAUGAAAUUCGUCCAUAAACCAUUCUGCCAUGGUCUACGGGAUGCUAAUAAAUUACACUUAGGACACUUAAUACUUUCAUUAAAAAAUCACUUGGUAUCUUUAUUUUCAAAUUGUAUCAGUUAAUUGCUGGCUAACACUUUAGGAGAAGUGUUAAUAAGACAUUUCAAUUCAUGUGUUGUAUAGUGCAAGUGUAAAAAAGUCAUGUGACUCUUAAUGAAUGAAAAAUUGACAUAAUAUAACAUAGGUGACGGACACAAUUAAACGAUGUAAUAGUGCAAAACACUGCGCUCAUUGUUAGCACGGAAAACUUUUUUUCGGAAAAUGCUUUCUAGAGAAAACUUUUCUUAGAAAUGAAUUUGUUGUUCGCGUUUGGCUUGACAUGGAUCCAUUUUUUUGGAAAUCAAUUGUAUUAGUAUUUAUUUGGUAUGAAAAAAAUCACAAACAAGUAAAAAUACAAAUAUACAAUCGUCAAUAAUAAACCACAAUAAAUGGUAAAUCCGACAUUACUCAAAUUCGGAAUCCGAUCCAAAUUAUAGGAUAUCGAUCCAAAACUCCAAUAGAUUCAAAUUUUUUUCUUAAUAACAAAUCAACUCAUAAAGGAAAAAAUGCAUCCAAGUCCACAAUAUUUUUUGUUUUCAGAAGUAAAAAAAAAAAUAGUUUUUAAAAAAUGAAAAGUUUUGAAAAACCCCAAAAAAUAUUUUUUUUAAAAAAUGCAACAGUUUUUGAAAAAAAAUAAAAACAUUUUUUGAAAAAAUAAAAUUUUUUAUUUUUUUGCAGUGCUCUAACAAUAGCUGGCGGGCCGAUAUAUUUCUAGUGCAACAUCCACGAAAUCAUUCACUGUUACACCUUUCAUCGUCAAAUGUAGUAGAGACCGAAGCUCUGUUCAGAAAUCAGAAGCGGUUGGUGGAGAAAACCUUUCUUUAGCAAAUCACAGGCAGUUAGCCGGUAUACUUGGCACUAGCGGGAUCAUUCGAUGUACGGAUUCUAUGCUUUUGGAUUAAAGAAAACUGGAAAAUAGAAUUGGUCUUCCUUCUGAACCUUGAACGUCUUCAUCUCAGUUUUUCUGAGUUAUAGGGACCAUCAAGCAAAAUCGGCGCUCUGUCAAAGCUCUCCCACCUUGACCUCCAAGGAACCUAUAAGACAGGUAUAUACCUUUCGAAAACUCACCCAAUAAAUUACCUGGACAUAUCUGAUAAUCAUCUCACGGGUCCAAUCCCUUUUCUAUUAGUCAUUUGUCGAACUAAAAUUUCUGAGUCUGUUCAAAUCGGAUUAAUGGCAUAAGACCUCAUAAAACUUCACGCAUUUUAUCCAGCCUUAGUUCAAAUCGGCCAGACUAAUAUAUCCAGAUUCGUCGAACCAAACCCUAAUUGCGGGCACCCCUAUAGUUAUAUUUGCACCAGAUAGCGAUCUUACUUUUUUUCUAUUAAGUGAAGCCACAAGUUUUUUUAAUUUUUUUGACACAGAUUUUUCUAUUGUGCGAACUUGCUAUACCAUGAUGUGACUGGAAAGGUGCUAUGUUAUAGCUCAAUGGCGGCACUAGAAACUAUCAUGGAAGCAUCCGAGAGGAAUUCCUCUCAUCAAUGGCGUCACCUUUUGCUAAAAACAUGAUAAGCCGAUGUCAGAUCCACGACUUAUACCUCCAAACGAAUCAGUAGUUGCGGGGAACAUUGUUCUUGUGCUACUCUAGGGCGUUUGCCUGCUUGCAUUCUGAGCGAGAUUGGUUCCAACACGCAACAACAUCUCUCAAAUGUUUUCUUUCCCCCAAGAAAGCUCUAGCUGAACUUUUCACACAAUUUCUCUACAGGAGCUGAUGCAAUCAAGAAAUGGUUUUAGUUUCUGUAAUCGCACAGGCACAAUGCGACUGAUAACUGACUGCAGCAGCUUGCACCACCGCAAGACCACUACAGGUAUUAUCCUCGAUUUUCUUUAUCGCAUUCUCAUAAACUUGUUAGGACAAUCUUUAUGCAAUAUGAUAAAUAGCAAACUGAAAUUUAAAUUAAUAAUAAUCAAAAAAUUAAAGAAAUGAACACACUUACAGGAACUCUUGUUCGAAAGAACAACAAUUUCAAAUUUAUGACUGAUGCCUGUAUUCAAUCCUUAAGACAGAUUAGCCUCCGCAUGGGUUGCUAAAGAAUGUAGUAGGACUAUAUCUCCCAGGAUACAAUAGUCGAAAUCUUACGAUACCAACACAACAAUCAGUAAGCCUAGUGAACUAAACAUAGUGAGUACUCUCUUUACGGCAUGCCCAAAAAAUGAAGAAAGGAAGAACGGAGGAUAUAUGACAUUGCUUGAUUUCGAUAAACAGAAGGCUGAGGAGGGAUGUGUAUAUGGGAAAAAAAUUCUGGACUUUUCGGAAAGGAUGCAACUUUUAGAAGAAGGCAACUUUUCAGAAGAAGGACAACUUUUCGGGGAUUGUUCGUUUAAAAGUCAAACGUACAGAGGGACAAUACAGGAAAAGAUGCAAUAGUUAGGGAUUUUUUAACUCCGACAGACGCACUAUUCAGGACUAAAUUCGAAAAGUCGCAACUAUUCGGGGACCAAAAUAUAAUACUGAAAAAACUUUUUUAUUAAAAAAAUAAAUAAAUUUAUAUUAGUAUAGUUCGGGCAGGCGGUUUUAGUCUAGUCAUAGCUCUGGCCCAACCCCAUCAAAACUUAGAUACCCCUUGGGCCCAACCCAAGGAGUAAAAGUUACUCCUUAUAAAACACUUUACUUUUCAUCUCCUACCAAUGUGGGCUCAUAACUUUCUACAUAGAUCAUAUAUAUGUAGCACACUGGGAGUCAAUUUCUAAUUCAUUUGUACGUAGUUGUGAAAAAAAAAAAACUAAUUACACAUUCUUAAUACCCACAUGUAAGUGUAUCUAUAGCCACUUAGAUCCAUCUAAAAGUGAGGGGUUCCCAUUUUUUCUUUUUUGUAAUUAAGCCUCAAAAUGGACAAAACUACGGUUAUUGAACCCAUUUUUACUACAAAACUCACACCGUAAAUUUAUCAAUUGUGCUCGAGUUUGGAAUGAUGACAUGUGGUAGGCAUACCCUAUAUAAGCACUGCCAAGCAAGCAAAAACACAUCACUCGUUACUGCUGGGACUUCAAACUAAUUGAUAAAUUCUUUUUUAACUAUUACAUACGGAAUUAGGCGAAAUGGUUAAAACUUGGCAUCUGCUAGAUUGAACAAUCAAAAAGCUUGGGGUUAUAUUGUUUUUCACUCUAAAGAGGUUAGAUUGAACAAUCA
rnacentral:lncRNA from 1 species